rnacentral:rRNA from 1 species
AUACGGGGGGGGCGAGCGUUGUCCGGAAUCAUUGGGCGUAAAGGGUGAGUAGGCGGGAUGGUAAGUCAGAGGUGAAAGUCCAGGGCUCAACUCUGGAUCUGCCUCUGAUACUGCUGUCCUUGAGUGCGGGAGAGGGAAGUGGAAUUCCCGGUGUAGCGGUGAAAUGCGUAGAUAUCAGGAAGAACACCAGUGGCGAAGGCGGCUUCCUGGCCCGCAACUGACGCUGAAUCACGAAAGCGUGGGGAGCAAACAGGAUUAGAUACCCUAGUAGUCC